AUCCUUAAUCUAACUGAUGAGGAAGGCAAUACAAAAAUCCCAAUUUUGAUUGCCCCUGGGAUGGCAUGGAGCAAAUGCUGCACAAGCCACAGUGUCCCCCCAUAACUGCUGCCUGCAGAAGGAACAGCUUUCUCAAAGCGUUUUAACCAAAGACGUCCCAUCUCAAAUUUGGCCAACAAUUACUUUGUGAUGUGGAAACCCUGAGGCCAGCCUUCAUCAGUGGAGAGUUUUUCCGGGAAAGAACUGCAACGCUGAUUGUGAAGGUUCUUACUUUACCCUUAAAAAUGCCUCCUCCGUAUAUUAAUCUUCCCGUUGCACGCUGAUAUAAGCCGGUGACUGACUGCCCGGGAUGGAGGGGGAAGUCCCCCCAGUGCCCGGUUUUGCGCAGUGCUGUGAUGGGGAUGUUGCAGAGUCUUCUGAAAGCUGCCGGCGGGGGACAUACUGCGGGGCUGGGCUUGGACAAGCUCAACAGCUCCUGUGUAAAUGACCUUGAGCCAAACCUCCCUCUCACGCACACAGCCGGGUAGGAAAAAAGAUGUGUAGCACGCUGGAUGUGGAAAUUAGCCAGCAGCCCCUCCGAGCGUGAGAGUAGGGCUGGGUGAGCAGAGAUGCUCCCUUUGGUAAAGCAGAGCAAGACCUCUUAGCUGGACCGUGGCCACAGACACCAGCUCCCGGGGCUCAUGAAACCCGCUCUGUGCCAGCUGCCCCAUGGGGAUGCUGGUGCUGGGACGGUGAACGAGGAGCUCCAGCCAUGCCCACAGGCAGGGAGCAAGCGGGGAUGCCCAGCUGUGCCAGCAGCGUGGUGCCCGGCCAAUGCAAUUCCCAAGAGAUGGCUUAAAAUCAAAGAUAAUUCAGAGGUUACGGACCUUGGGAAUGGGCUGAAUAAUAUUACUGCCAAAGGGAGCAGCCACAGAACUCUGACCAACGCUUCCUUACGCCGUUUCUCCCAAUGCAUUACUUCCACUAUGGCAAUCCACUUAAAGGUGCUGCUGCUUCCCAUCGUUUCUCCAUCCUUAUUUAUUUUGAACAUUGCUUAAUGUUUAUCUUACUGUCCCACUGCCCUUCCGCUUUUACUCUUCCUCCUCAUACAGUCUCUGAAUUUUGUUUGUCCUUGGCAAGCCGUGUUUGAAAGCCCACGCGUGCAUCCCGGUCCGUCCGUGCUGCUCAUCACGUUCCUCCGGAGCACCGCGGAGCCUUCGGCCGGACUUGCCGCCAGCCCGGCUCUUUCCUCCUCCUGGCCCGGCGGGGACCAGCAAUGCCCGUGAACAGGUUGUCAGAGGUGAAACCCAAACUUUUAUGCAAUCUCUGUAAGUGUUAAUGAACCUCGUAAAGCAAAUGCUCACCGAAGUAUAUCGAGUCCCAGCUGUUCUCCCCAGGGAUGAUAACCUGGCAGAAAUUGCACGCUAUUUGCUGAAAGAUUCUUCAGUUUCUGGAGCUGGCACAGAUAUAGAGGAGAUGGCUGCAAAGGGAGAUGCUUGCAAAGGGACUGCUACCCCUGGAGAACUAGGAUCCUUCCAACAUGGUGGUGUUUCCUUUUAAAAAUUGUUUUCUUUUUUUUUUUCUUUUUUCUUUUUUUCUUUUAAACCCCCAUGCCUGGUCACUGCCCCUAAUCCCCCUGUAGUAUUCUUUUUGAUUUUCAGAAAGGGAACACAGUUUUAUCCAGGGCACCCACCGGAGACGUGUAUUCCCCAUAGUCAGAUUUGUGAACUGGUUUGUGAGUCUUUCCUAGGGCAGAAUCAGGUUUCCAGUAGUGAAUCUCAAGUGCGCUUCUGGAGAAAUUCAGAAUUUUUUUCUCUCCCUUGAUUUACUAGUGCUGACAUAAACACCAUAGCUGAUAUUUUGGAAGUGAUCAUAGAGAGCACUCGCAGCUGAGCUGAGCUGAAGGGCAAGGAUAAUAUCUAUUGCAGCAGAAGAUGCAUUCACCGGCUACCAGGUGCAGAUGGCAAGCCCUAGGGCAACAGCAAAACCAAAGAUAGAGGAACGGGGUGAAAUGAAAAGGAAAAAAAACUCUCUCUUUUGUAGUUGAUUACUGAAAUGCUAAGGCUAAGCAACUUCUCUGAGUUAGUUAUUAAUAAUCUACAAAUGACAUUAAGUUUGCAUUGCUAGCCUGACUGCUUGUCUUGGUGAGUAUCUGUUGUGUAAGCUAAGAAGGACGUCUUUAUUCGGGAUUGUGCUAUAGGAAAGAGGUAGGGUUGUGCUCUUACAAGCCACCCACUAGUUUCACCCUUCAAACAAAUAAUUUUCAUGAUUCACUGUAAUACUUAAGACAAUAGGAAGCCCUUUAGUUCUCAGAGGAAAAAAAUGUUACAGCUUUAUAUAACAAUUUUUUGGUAUUACAAAAGAUCUACUGUCAUCAGUUACUUAUUCAUAGUUAUGAAUUGCUGCUGUUGUCAUUUUUACAUUGCACAUUGCUAUAAAAAGAGAAGAUACAGCAUUUCUUUCAGUUUUUGUUUUGUUUUAGUAAAUUGCGAAUUGUGAUUUAAGUUUCUGCAUUCAGGUUUAUUUCUGUCUCCCAGUGGGAUAAUAUAAUCAACAAUACCUACUAUUGCUUUCAUUUUUAAGAGAGGAUGGAUGAACCAGCUCUCCUGUAUGUCCUGUAUGAAGUUAAAUUAAAUACAUAUUUUGAUCGUUCCUUUUUUCUUUAGUAGCAAAUGGAUAUUAUUUAGUACCAGAGCUGAAGAUGAAAAAUCGCAAAGGUGAGUAACUGUUCAAAUUCCCAGACAAUAAAUUAAUGAAUACCCUUUAAAUGAGGUGAAUUCUAAUCUUUCUCCUGCGUAUCGAGUGCCCCUGGACUAUUUGUGAGACAGAAAAGGGCACCUAGCUCCUUCGUCUUAUGAAAUCUUAUGUAAUAACUGGCGGGGGAUCACUGAAUGGGCUUUAACACAUCUUGUAUGCGUUUGAUAGCCCAUAUGUUUAAAAUUUGCUCAUGUAGCCAUAUGCUGAAAACUUCCCCAAAUGCUACUUUUUCUUAUUUUGGGGCUGUUUUGAAGUUCUAAGAAAAUGACAGUCUAAUGGUGUGACCCCAGCUACUCCAGACUGUGCCAAACAUAUUGUAGCCAGUUACUCCGUGGUGACCCUAAACACAUGGAAAGCGUAGGAGUGAACAUUAAUAGCAGAGAGAUGCUUGGCAAGUGACUGCAGGGAGGAAAAUGAAGAAAAGUGUUUGGGAGAUGCUGUGACUAUUAUCUCUUAAGUGAAUCAAGGCUUCCUGCUUCUUUUCCUGUUAUUAUCCUUGUUUCUGCAUGUUUUCUGAGCCACUCCCUUUGCUGGGUAUUCAGAGGGGCUAGGCUUAGCCUAGCGAGUCUGGUUUUGCCUGCCCGCCUCUGUAGUGAGUGGAGACAGAGAGGUUCCUGAAGUGGGUGAUUCGUGCUGGCCAUUCAGUGAGUAUGGAGGUUGGCUGAAAAGACUGGGUUAUGGGGCUAAUGCUGGCCUGAAUGACUACCUGCCUUAAUCGUCUUGCCCUUCGGUUUGCUCGGAUGUUUGGUUGUAUCAAUGGCCUUGCAAGAAAGCAAGGUGCGAGAGUAGCCUGCAAACAUCGUCGUGUUUUCUUUCCACUACUAUUUCAAGGAUGUGAGGAGUGGUAGUAGUGCAAUUUGGUAUGAAACAGUGAGCCCACACCAAGGUUUUUUUGGUCCUUUUAUGGUAACAGCUCCAUAUCAAACCAUGACUAUGUAAAAAAGCCUUACGUAGCUGAUGCAGUGUAGCUCCAACUCCCAGUACCACCAGCUCCUGGCAAUGGGCAUUGCUCAACACCUUAAAAUAGUUGCUUGGGCAGUCCCUGCCAUGCCCAAAGCUGUUGUGACCUCAAGGUCUUCUUGCUUGCAUGUUGGCUCAUCUGCUUCCCACCCAGGCGGUUUAUCAGUGAAGAGAUGCAUCGCUGUUUCUGCAGGCAGCUAACUUCUCAUCAAUCACUGCUCAGCACCAGAAGAAGUAGAGUGGAGCCGAGGCCUCUUGGCUUCCCUUUGGUUUCUGCGUUAGUGGAAUAGAGAAAGUGUUCCCAUAGC